UACGUAGGGGGCAAGCGUUGUUCGGAUUUACUGGGCGUAAAGGGCGCGUAGGCGGCUUAUCAAGUCAAUUGUGAAAUCUCCGGGCUUAACCCGGAACGGUCAAUUGAUACUGAUAUGCUAGAGUGCAGAAAGGGCAACUGGAAUUCUUGGUGUAGCGGUGAAAUGCGUAGAUAUCAAGAGGAACACCAGAGGCGAAGGCGAGUUGCUAGGCUGACACUGACGCUGAGGCGCGAAAGCUAGGGGAGCGAACGGG
rnacentral:rRNA from 1 species